AUUGAACGCUGGCGGCAGGCCUAACACAUGCAAGUCGAGAGGAGCGGCGGACGGGAGAGUAAUGCCUAGGAAUCUGCCUGGUAGUGGGGGAUAACGUCCGGAAACGGGCGCUAAUACCGCAUCCUCUCAGAUGAGGCUAGGUCGGAUUAGCUAGUUGGUGGGGUAAAGGCGUACCAAGGCGACGAUCCGUAACUGGUCUGCAAGGAUGAUCAGUCACACGGGAACGGAGACACUGUCCAGACUCCUACGGGAGGCAGCGGGGGGGAAGAUUGGACAAUGGGCGAAAGCCUGAGCCAGCGAUGCCGCGUGUGUGAAGAAGGUCUUCGGAUUGUAAAGCACUUUAAGUUGGGAGGCGUUACCAACAGAAUAAGCACCGGCUAACUUCGUGCCAGCAGCCGCGGUAAUUC
rnacentral:rRNA from 1 species